AAAUCGGUUUAAAGAUUUAUUUUACGGAUCAUGAGCCUUCUCCGCCACCAGCACCACCCCCUCCCCCUCCACCACAGCAGGAAACUAAGUCUGAUCCACCACCACCAAUUGCAGAGGGAGCACCAGAAGCUGCAAAUUCUGAUCCGCCACAACCGGAUGGUGGCAAUCCAAGUGAAGCUGCGCCUCCACCGCCGCCUGCUGACGCCGUACCGCCACCUCCACCGCUGUCUGCUGACGCCGUAGCUUCACCUCCAGCUGAAAACGGGCCGUCAGCUGCUAAUGCUGGGGCACCAACAACACCGCCACUUGCUGAAGCUGCACCAUCGCCGCCGGCGAAUGUCACUCCUGAAGCUGAGCCCCUAGUCCAAGGAGCUAACAAUCCAGUGGAAGCUGCUUCAACACAAGAGGCACAAUUGGAUCCUCAUCAAAUGAAGGCAUCUAUAGAAUCAGGAUCAAUACCAGAAGUCAAAGUCGGUAGUACAUACGGUCCACGACCAAUCUCACGCGCUGCAUCAGUCAGUAGCUUCAUAUCAGACGCAUCAGACAACAUUUCAAUCGAACGUCCCUCAUUCGACCUUGUGGAGAAAAUGCACUACCUCUUCAUUCGAGUUGUCAAAGCUCGAUCUCUCCCUACUCCCGGCAAUCCGGUGGUCAAGAUUAUUGUAUCAGGUUCCCAAGUCACAUCCAAACCCGCUCGUAUAACCAUGUUCUUCGAGUGGGAUCAAACUUUUGCAUUCAGCCGCGACGCACCAGAUUCCUCUUCCAUCCUAGAAGUGUCAGUGUGGGACUCGCUAAUUUCCAGCUCGACGUCUGACGUGGCAGGUCAUAGCUUCUUAGGUGGCAUAUGCUUCGAUGUGACUGAGAUCCCACUGCGGGACCCACCGGAUAGCCCGCUGGCUCCGCAAUGGUACAGACUUGAAGGAGGUGGCGCCCAUAAAGGCGAUCUCAUGCUUGCCACGUGGGUUGGGACACAAGCUGACGAGUCAUUCCCAGAAGCAUGGAAGACCGACACAGCCGGUAAUCCCAGUUCACGAUCUAAAGUCUACCAAUCACCUAAAUUGUGGUAUUUGAGAUCAACCGUGAUUGAGGCCCAAGACAUAUCCGGGUUAGCGCCGUCAAGAGAUUCAUCCUUCCAAGUUAAAGCUCAGUUGGGAUUUCAAGUACAAAAGACUAAGCUAUCUCCCACACGUAACGGAUCUCCGUCAUGGAAUGAAGACUUGAUGUUUGUAGCUGCUGAGCCAUUUAGUGACAGCCAACUAGUAUUCUUUCUAGUGGAAUACCGGGAACCUAAAGAACAGGUUAUCCUAGGGGUUGCUAGCAUACCACUCACGUCCAUAGAGCGCCGUGUUGACGACCGGAAUGUGGUAUCAAGAUGGUUCACCUUUGAAGAUCCAAAUCAAGACAAGAGAGUAUAUAAAGGUAGGGUCCACCUAAGGGUAUGUUUCGACGGUGGAUAUCACGUGAUGGAUGAAGCUGCUCACGUGUGUAGCGAUUAUCGUCCGACCGCGAAGCAGCUUUGGAAACCCCCUGUUGGGACAGUUGAGCUGGGGAUCAUUGGAUGCAAGAAUUUAUUACCUAUGAAGACCAUCAACAACAAGGGUUCUACUGACGCAUAUGCAGUGGCGAAGUAUGGUAACAAAUGGGUACGCACUCGCACGGUGUGUGAUACCCUGGACCCGAAAUGGAAUGAGCAGUACACGUGGAGGGUUUACGAUCCGUCCACAGUGUUGACGAUUGGUGUUUUUGACGGUUGGGAAGUAUUCGAAUCAGACGGCCAGAGAGUGUCCACGCGCCCUGAUUUUCGGAUUGGAAAGGUACGCAUACGAAUCUCCACCCUAGAGACUGGUAAGGUGUACAAAAAUAUGUUUCCAUUGCUUUCGUUAUCUCCUGCUGGAUUAAAGAAAAUGGGUGAAAUAGAGGUGGCCGUACGAUUCGCACGUGCGACUCCCACGCUAGAUAUUUUGCACUUGUACUCGAUGCCUCUAUUGCCCAUAAUGCACCACAUCAAGCCUAUUGGUGUGAUGCAACAAGAGAUGUUGAGAUCCACGGCUGUUAAGAUCGUGUGCGCACACUUGUCACGAUCUGAGCCACCCCUUCCACGCGAGGUCAUAACGUAUAUGCUGGAUGCCGAUUCGCACGCGUUCAGCAUGCGUAAAGUGCGUGCCAAUUGGUUCCGAAUCAUCAACGUGAUUGCGGGGGUGAUUGAUAUCAUAAAAUGGAUGGAGGAGACGCGUUGUUGGAGGAAUCCGACUGCUACGGUGUUGGUACAUGCAUUGUUGGUGAUGCUGGUGUGGUUCCCUGAUUUAAUUAUCCCCACCUUGGCAUUUUACAUGUUUGUAGUUGGGGUGUGGAAUUAUAGGUUAAGGUCACGGGAGCCACUGCCGCACUUUGAUCCCAAGAUCUCAUUGGCGGAUACGAUUGAUCGGGAUGAGCUGGAUGAAGAGUUUGAUGNNNNNNNNNNNNNNNNNNNNNNNNNNNNNNNNNNNNNNNNNNNNNNNNNNNNNNNNNNNNNNNNNNNNNNNNNNNNNNNNNNNNNNNNNNNNNNNNNNNNAGUUUGAUAUUUUUUUAUUAUUAUAAUGUUGAGAUAUUGGACUACAUUAAAUAUAUUAUUCAUUUGUUCCAUCUUUAAUGUAAUAGUCAAUAUUUUAGUUUUUUAAAUUGAUUAAAAAAUCAUAAUUAAUAGUCAUUAUUGAGAAGAAGUUUCACUAGCCUUAUUUGUGGAAUAGAACCAUAUAUGUGUGUAUAUAUAUAUAUAUACUUUUUAAUCUCUCUCUCCGGCCCUUGGUCCAUACAAAAGUAUGGUCAGUUUGAAAAAGUAGAAGAGAAUCUUCAUCAACUAAAGGAAGGGAUUAAUAUUAUCAAUAUGGUAAUGAUUUAAAAUCAUAUAUAGGGGGAAUCAAAUGUUAACAAUUAAUAUGGUACCUAUUUUUGUUCAAAUUCUAUCACUUAUGUUAGUAACUAUUUUUGGUUUUUGAAUUAUGAUUCAUCUUAUAUUUAUUUACAUAUUUUGCGCCUAUAAGUUUUACAAUGUAUAGUAUGAAUAUAAGUUUGAAUAUCACUGCGCGCAAUUUAAUUUAUACUUAUAAUGCGCGUCUCUUUCUUCUUAGCAAUACAAAGACAAGCACGUAUAUAUACAUACAUAUAAUAUAUACUGUAAAAGCAGUGCGAAAGAAAACGAAAAAAGUGAAAAAGUAGAAUCUAAAUGCUGGAAAAGGAAAAUAUUAUCUUAAGAAGCAAUAAGUAAAGCAAUAUUAUUAAUUAAUAUAUAAGAAAAAGAAGGAUUUGAAUAAUUUGUAUUACUGGCCUAAGGCUAAGGCUGCUUGCUUGCACAUGAAGUUAAGUACCUUUCUUAUCUCCUGCCCUUUAUUUUCCACCUAAGAACUCCAUUAUACUCUUUCUAUGUUAUAUAAAACUACCCUUAAUUUCCCCUAACCCAAAAACCCUCUUUCUUCAAUUUCAUCCCAUAAAUUUCCCAAACUCCCCCCACCGUACGUAUUACUAGCUGCUACACAAAAUGUGACUAAACUUGAUCUCCUCUAAAACUUUUAAGAAUUAGAUAGCUAGCUAGCUGGGGAGUCGCUAAAUCAAUAUUAAUUAAUUGUUUCGCCCAGUUCUGUCCAAUCGAUCCAUCGUGUCAUGGCGGUAGGUAGUAUUCGAAAGUUAGUGGUGGAGGUGGUGGAUGCCCGUAAUCUUUUGCCGAAAGAUGGGCAUGGAACGUCGAGUCCUUACGUGAUUCUUGAUUUCUAUGGUCAAAGAAGAAAGACAAGAAGCAUUAUCUGUGACCUAAAUCCGGUAUGGAAUGAGACCGUUUCUUUUAAUGUUGGGAAGCCAUCUAGUGUUUUCGGUGACAUGCUUGAGGUGGAUGUUUAUCACGAUAAAAACAUCGGUCCUACUACUAGAAAUAAUUUCCUCGGUAGAGUUCGCUUGAAUUCCCGCCAGUUUGUUAGGAGAGGCGAGGAGGCUUUGAUUUAUUAUACUCUGGAGAAAAAGAAUUUGUUUUCUUGGAUUCAAGGUGAAAUCGGUUUAAAGAUUUAUUUUACGGAUCAUGAGCCUNNNNNNNNNNNNNNNNNNNNNNNNNNNNNNNNNNNNNNNNNNNNNNNNNNNNNNNNNNNNNNNNNNNNNNNNNNNNNNNNNNNNNNNNNNNNNNNNNNNNGAAGCUGCUUCAACACAAGAGGCACAAUUGGAUCCUCAUCAAAUGAAGGCAUCUAUAGAAUCAGGAUCAAUACCAGAAGUCAAAGUCGGUAGUACAUACGGUCCACGACCAAUCUCACGCGCUGCAUCAGUCAGUAGCUUCAUAUCAGACGCAUCAGACAACAUUUCAAUCGAACGUCCCUCAUUCGACCUUGUGGAGAAAAUGCACUACCUCUUCAUUCGAGUUGUCAAAGCUCGAUCUCUCCCUACUCCCGGCAAUCCGGUGGUCAAGAUUAUUGUAUCAGGUUCCCAAGUCACAUCCAAACCCGCUCGUAUAACCAUGUUCUUCGAGUGGGAUCAAACUUUUGCAUUCAGCCGCGACGCACCAGAUUCCUCUUCCAUCCUAGAAGUGUCAGUGUGGGACUCGCUAAUUUCCAGCUCGACGUCCGACGUGGCAGGUCAUAGCUUCUUAGGUGGCAUAUGCUUCGAUGUGACUGAGAUCCCACUGCGGGACCCACCGGAUAGCCCGCUGGCUCCGCAAUGGUACAGACUUGAAGGAGGUGGCGCCCAUAAAGGCGAUCUCAUGCUUGCCACGUGGGUUGGGACACAAGCUGACGAGUCAUUCCCAGAAGCAUGGAAGACCGACACAGCCGGUAAUCCCAGUUCACGAUCUAAAGUCUACCAAUCACCUAAAUUGUGGUAUUUGAGAUCAACCGUGAUUGAGGCCCAAGACAUAUCCGGGUUAGCGCCGUCAAGAGAUUCAUCCUUCCAAGUUAAAGCUCAGUUGGGAUUUCAAGUACAAAAGACUAAGCUAUCUCCCACACGUAACGGAUCUCCGUCAUGGAAUGAAGACUUGAUGUUUGUAGCUGCUGAGCCAUUUAGUGACAGCCAACUAGUAUUCUUUCUAGUGGAAUACCGGGAACCUAAAGAACAGGUUAUCCUAGGGGUUGCUAGCAUACCACUCACGUCCAUAGAGCGCCGUGUUGACGACCGGAAUGUGGUAUCAAGAUGGUUCACCUUUGAAGAUCCAAAUCAAGACAAGAGAGUAUAUAAAGGUAGGGUCCACCUAAGGGUAUGUUUCGACGGUGGAUAUCACGUGAUGGAUGAAGCUGCUCACGUGUGUAGCGAUUAUCGUCCGACCGCGAAGCAGCUUUGGAAACCCCCUGUUGGGACAGUUGAGCUGGGGAUCAUUGGAUGCAAGAAUUUAUUACCUAUGAAGACCAUCAACAACAAGGGUUCUACUGACGCAUAUGCAGUGGCGAAGUAUGGUAACAAAUGGGUACGCACUCGCACGGUGUGUGAUACCCUGGACCCGAAAUGGAAUGAGCAGUACACGUGGAGGGUUUACGAUCCGUCCACAGUGUUGACGAUUGGUGUUUUUGACGGUUGGGAAGUAUUCGAAUCAGACGGCCAGAGAGUGUCCACGCGCCCUGAUUUUCGGAUUGGAAAGGUACGCAUACGAAUCUCCACCCUAGAGACUGGUAAGGUGUACAAAAAUAUGUUUCCAUUGCUUUCGUUAUCUCCUGCUGGAUUAAAGAAAAUGGGUGAAAUAGAGGUGGCCGUACGAUUCGCACGUGCGACUCCCACGNNNNNNNNNNNNNNNNNNNNNNNNNNNNNNNNNNNNNNNNNNNNNNNNNNNNNNNNNNNNNNNNNNNNNNNNNNNNNNNNNNNNNNNNNNNNNNNNNNNNAAAGAAUUUGUUUUCUUGGAUUCAAGGUGAAAUCGGUUUAAAGAUUUAUUUUACGGAUCAUGAGCCUUCUCCGCCACCAGCACCACCCCCUCCCCCUCCACCACAGCAGGAAACUAAGUCUGAUCCACCACCACCAAUUGCAGAGGGAGCACCAGAAGCUGCAAAUUCUGAUCCGCCACAACCGGAUGGUGGCAAUCCAAGUGAAGCUGCGCCUCCACCGCCGCCUGCUGACGCCGUACCGCCACCUCCACCGCUGUCUGCUGACGCCGUAGCUUCACCUCCAGCUGAAAACGGGCCGUCAGCUGCUAAUGCUGGGGCACCAACAACACCGCCACUUGCUGAAGCUGCACCAUCGCCGCCGGCGAAUGUCACUCCUG
rnacentral:lncRNA from 1 species